UAACAGCCUACAGUGUGCUUGGGUCUGUGUUGGUCCUGUGCAUUUCUAUAGCACUUGCUAGGACAAUUUUGGAAUAGUUUGAGGCCUUGCCCUGUUCUAUGCAGAGAGAGUUCCUGGAAAUUUCAGACAGUU